GAGAUGGGAUUGUGUUACUCACCUCUGCAUUGAUAGAUCAGGUGUGUGUGCCUGGAGCUCCAGGUCAAAGAAUCCAGAAGCAAAGGUUUGAGUGGUCGGGUGGCUCAGAACAGGAUGCCACAGAAGGGAGAAACUUCAGCCCAACCAUGAGGGAUGAGAAGACAGGCUGUCCUGACAAAAGGAUGGAUGAAGUGGCAGAAGUAGGAAAUAGAAAGAAAAUCAGGCUACCUCACCUUCACCAGGGUAAUCUGUUUGUAAGCAGGGUCACCACGGACCAUGACAAUCACAUGAUCAGACUCACCAUAAUCCCUUAAUCCAUCACUCCCUCCAAACAGCAAACACACCUAGAGUCAAACACACACACACACACACACACA